AAUGGGGGAAACCCUGACGCAGCAACGCCGCGUGAGUGAAGAAGCAUCUUGGUGUGUAAAGCUCUGUCGACAGGGACUAAGACUUCUGUUUAAGAGAUGGAAGUGUUGAAGGUACCUGUAGAGGAAGCCCCGGCUAACUCCGUGCCAGCAGCCGCGGUAAUACGGGGGGGGCAAGCGUUAUUCGGAAUUACUGGGCGUAAAGGGCGCGCAGGCGGUCCGUUAAGUGAGAAGUGAAAGCCCACGGCUUAACCGUGGAGGUGCUUCUCAUACUGGCGAACUAGAGGAUGGGAGAGGAAAGCGGAAUACCCGGUGUAGCGGUGAAAUGCGUAGAGAUCGGGUGGAACACCAGUGGCGAAGGCGGCUUUCUGGACCAUAACUGACGCUGAGGCGCGAAAGCGUGGGGAGCAAACAGGAUU
rnacentral:rRNA from 1 species